CUACGUGCCAGCAGCCGCGGUAAUACGGAAGGUUCGGGCGUUAUCCGGAUUUAUUGGGUUUAAAGGGAGCGUAGGCUGGAGAUUAAGUGUGUUGUGAAAUGUAGACGCUCAACGUCUGAAUUGCAGCGCAUACUGGUUUCCUUGAGUACGCACAACGUUGGCGGAAUUCGUCGUGUAGCGGUGAAAUGCUUAGAUAUGACGAAGAACUCCGAUUGCGAAGGCAGCUGACGGGAGCGCAACUGACGCUUAAGCUCGAAGGUGCGGGUAUCAAACAGGAUUAGAUACCCUGGUAGUCCGCACAGUAAACGAUGGAUGCCCGCUGUUGGUACCUGGUAUCAGCGGCUAAGCGAAAGCAUUAAGCAUCCCACCUGGGGAGUACGCCGGCAACGGUGAAACUCAAAGGAAUUGACGGGGGCCCGCACAAGCGGAGGAACAUGUGGUUUAAUUCGAUGAUACGCGAGGAACCUUACCCGGGCUUGAAUUGCAGAGGAAGGAUUUAGAGAUA
rnacentral:rRNA from 1 species